AGUUAUAGCUAGGGGUGCCCGACGGCUGAGAGGAUUCAAAUCCAACCCUUGAACCUGAUGUGGUUAGUACCACCGUAGGAAAGCUUUCUGUUGAUAAA
rfam:Sporomusa sphaeroides DSM 2875 SPSPH_contig000007, whole genome shotgun sequence.